UCCCGUGUAGCUCAGUUGGUAGAGCGUCUCUAUUUGGUGCAGAAGGCCACUGGUUCGAACCACGCCUGCGAA